rnacentral:rRNA from 1 species
GACGAACCGUGCGACCGUUAUUCGGAAUCACUGGGCUUAAAGCGCGUGUAGGCGGGACGGCACGUCGGUCGCUGAAAGCCCCCGGCUCAACCGGGGAACGGGCGCCGAUACGACCGUCCUGGAGGGACGUAGGGGGACCUGGAACAUCCGGUGGAGCGGUGAAAUGCGUUGAGAUCGGAUGGAACGCCCGUGGCGAAAGCGAGGUCCUGGACGUUUUCUGACGCUGAGACGCGAAAGCCAGGGGAGCGAACGGG